AUCGCUUCUUGGCCUUUUGGCUAAGAUCAAGUGUAGUUUCUUACAUUGUGUAGGAUUAUAGUAAGCACUGAAACAGAUAGAGUGAAUUCUUCAACUUCUUUUUUUUCCCAAAUAGUUUUGGAAAUCCUGGUUCUUUCCAUAUAUAACUCAGAAUCAGCUUGUCAAUAUCUCUAAAAGAGCCUGAGUAAAGGAC